CAUUUAAAUAGGUUUAUGCAGUAAAUGCAGAAAAAGUAUCAGUGAUGAAAUGAAAUCAUGUGAGUGUUGUCAAAAAGUACCUUCUAACUGCAAAAUGACCCUGAAUGACACAGCGGAGCAAUUCAGGAGCCUCCGGCCAAGGGCAGAGAAUUAUGAUGAAAAUUGCCAUUCAGAGACUUUGUCACAGGUAU